rnacentral:tRNA from 1 species
GGCAGUGUAGUGUAGUGGCUAAGGAGUUGGCCUUGUAACCUAAAGGUCGCAGGUUCGAUUCCCCGGCAGGACACUGCCG